CCGCCCCCCCCCCCCAGCAAGUUCUGUCCUCCUGUCUUCAGUGCCAGUGUAUGUGCAGAGAGAAAGGAAUAGUGACAACUCCCCCAUUUACAUAACAUUCCUGUGAUGUCAGGUGGAGGAGGGGAGAGAGCUGUUUGCAGUCCCUCCUUGUCAUCGUCCCAUCCCAUCUGGUGCUACAAAUGCGGAGACCCAAAAUGCCGCCUUCAUAUGUUGGAGCUGAGCUGGGAGACAAGCCUAGAGCUGCUGGGGAGAGAGAGAUGGGGAACUGAGGCUGGCAGAGAGUGACUUACCCAAGGCCAUUCAAUAAAGGCCAUAGCAGUCGGGCUCACAAGAGUCAGCAUCCGUUGGGACACACUUAAGCUGUUGUUUUGUGUCCUAUCCUGUCCUUAGUGGAUCCUGUGAGAACAGCUUUUCUCUUCUGCGUGAUGUUCUUCUAUACCCUCAAAACAUGCGACCAACCCCCCUCUAACCUUUCUACUGGGCAAAACAGCCAGUUUCCUCCAAGUGUUCCUUGUGCAGUUUGUCUUCUAGACAUUUAUCAUCCAUGCGACUCUUCUCUGAAACUUUUCCAUUGAUCAGCAUCCUGUCUGAAUUGUAAGGCUCAGAAACGAACUGUACUCUACUUCAAAGGAGAUCUUACCACAGCCCAAUUUUCCAUUGCUUCUUGAGCCUUGGAUACAUUAUUUUGCUUCAGCAUUAUUCUGUGGACUUGUGCAUCUAUCUGUUCAUGCAUCUAAAGGUUUAAAAGAAAAAAGGGAGUUAGAAAAAAACAAAAAUCUUACAAUGUGAUGAAAAGGAUGUACUUAAGUAUUGUUAGCCUGAUUGACAUGUUAAGAUUUAUUUUUUCACACAGAAUAUUAAAGUAGAACGAUGCAUGAUUUUAUUAAAUAAGUUUCAAGAUGGUAAGGUUUGGUCAAUGUGCAUAUGUCUCCUUUCCAUGUAUUUCUGCUUAAAAAGUCUUCAGUGGAUUACCAUUAAUGAUAAUUUUCAUUGGAUAAAGUGGGUUUCUUGUUUUUCCACACCCCAAAGUUCCAGCUCUUCAUUCUGAGCAUGCAGCUUGUACAUCAGGAAAGGCCAAGGAUACAUUAUUGACUGAAGUGAAGGACAAGAAGUUACCCUCUAGUUUAAUCAGACUAGAAAUUGAAUCUAAUAUGAUGCUUCAGGACCGCAGGCUAGCUACAGAGAGCAGAAGAGGCUGCGAGAUGCAUGAAUACUUGUAUGUAGGUGUGAUGUGUGGGGUGUGUUUGUAUAAAUAUCAACAUAGCAGUUAAUAUGGUCAAAUGUAUUAUUUCAUCACAGCUUUAUAAGAGUUGGGGGGGCAAUCAAUUAACUAUGUUGGACCAUCACUUUAGAAAGCUCUUCUUAGUCUUCUUUUUGGAUUUAGAAAGUUGGAAAGAGGUCAAUGCCUCAUCUUCGACAGAUCUUGACAAGAUUUUAGGUAUGAGCAUUGCUGGGGUGGGAGGAGGCAGGGAUAUUAAAUACAUUCUUUAAUUGGUUUGAUUGUGAUAUUUCUUGGCUUUGGUUUGUAAUUUGUUACUUUACAGUGAUUGUACAAUGCUUCAAUCAUUUGUGAAAAACUGACUAAUAAAUGUAGUUGGUGAACGAGCCAGUAAAUAAACCACUUUCUGCAAAAUACAGUA